CGGAUUCUUCUGAUACAAAGCUACAAUAAAUACACUGUGCUAGAUUGAUGCAAGUAAAGAUGGAAUAUGGACAAACCUAUUAGAAGUAGUAGCUACCGGGCGGUUCAAUUCCCAUAGAUUAAGGAUCAGCCUUUGAAGAAUGUAGCUUUAGUCAUCUCAUCCCAAUCCAGCAUUAAAAUAACUGAGGAUUUAUGUGUUAACAUUAUUGGCCCUAUGUAGUGUAACUCUAACGUGUUACGAAAUAUACACAAAAGUGCAUACAUUAUUAAUUUAGGCUGAGAUCAAUGUACGAAUAUUAUGAGCAUUGAACAUAUUGGUUAACAGUUAAUUAAUAUUUGCUGACAUGUUAACCCCAUUAAGUACCAUUAAUGCAAGCAAGCAUAAUGUAAUGUGGUGCACCGCGGAUCCAAAAAGGAUCAGAGUAAGAAUAAACGUAGAUGAGACAAC